AACAAAUAAUGAGCAUUCCCGGCUGUCCAAUUAAUGAGAAGCCAAUAAAAACUGCCUUAAGAGGAUAAACUUUGCUUUUCAGACUCCCUUCCAAUGGUUAGCAUUAUGAACAGCGGGGAGCCAGGACACGGCUCAGCUCACUCAUGCCCAGAGAGAGAAACAGUUAAGCUGCUGACCCUGAAGGGAGAGCUGUCCAUGUAGCUGUGUGUGGGAGCCACCGGAUGAAGCAGCCAAGACAGAGCGAACAGUUUGAGAGACCUAGUGUGUGUAAGCUGCUGUUGAGAGAGCUGCUGAAUAAAACUACCUUUCACCUGCC
rnacentral:lncRNA from 10 species